rnacentral:rRNA from 1 species
AUUGAACGCUGGCGGCAGGCCUAACACAUGCAAGUCGAGCGGAUGACGGGAGCUUGCUCCUUGAUUCAGCGGCGGACGGGUGAGUAAUGCCUAGGAAUCUGCCUGGUAGUGGGGGACAACGUUUCGAAAGGAACGCUAAUACCGCAUACGUCCUACGGGAGAAAGCAGGGGACCUUCGGGCCUUGCGCUACCAGAUGAGCCUAGGUCGGAUUAGCUAGUAGGUGAGGUAAUGGUUCACCUAGGCGACGAUCCGUAACUGGUCUGAGAGGAUGAUCAGUCACACUGGAACUGAGACACGGUCCAGACUCCUACGGGAGGCAGCAGUGGGGAAUAUUGGACAAUGGGCGAAAGCCUGAUCCAGCCAUGCCGCGUGUGUGAAGAAGGUCUUCGGAUUGUAAAGCACUUUAAGUUGGGAGGAAGGGUCGUACGUUAAUACCGUGCAAUUUUGACGUUACCGACAGAAUAAGCACCGGCUAACUCUGUGCCAGCCGCCGCAGUAA